rnacentral:rRNA from 1 species
ACACAUGCAGUCGAGGGGUAACAGAUCUUCGGAUGCUGACGACCGGCGAACGGGUGAGUAACACGUAUGCAACUUACCCAUAACUCGGGAAUAGCCCAAAGAAAUUUGGAUUAAUACCCAAUAAUACAGGCGUACCGCAUGGUAUUCUUCGUUAAAGAAUAAUCGGUUAUGGAUAGGCAUGCGUUCUAUUAGGUAGUUGGUGAGGUAACGGCUCACCAAGCCGACGAUGGAUAGGGGAACUGAGAGGUUGUCCCCCCACACUGGUACUGAGACACGGACCAGACUCCUACGGGAGGCAGCAGUGAGGAAUAUUGGUCAAUGGACGAAAGUCUGAACCAGCCAAAUCGCGUGAAGGAAGAAGGUAUUAUGUAUCGUAAACUUCUUUUGUAAGAGAGUAAAGUGCACUACGUGUAGUGUAUUGCAAGUACCUUACGAAUAAGCAUCGGCUAAUUCCGUGCCAGCAGCCGCGGUAAUACGGAAGAUGCAAGUGUUAUCCGGAUUUAUUGGGUUUAAAGGGUGCGUAGGUGGUCUAAUAAGUCAGUGGUGAAAUCUCUUUGCUUAACAAGGAAAUUGCCAUUGAAACUGUUAGACUUGAGAAUGGACGAGGUAGGCGGAAUUCGUAGUGUAGCGGUGAAAUGCAUAGAUAUUACGAAGAACUCCAAUAGUGUAGACUGCUUACCAGACCAUAUCUGACACUAAGGCACGAAAGUGUGGGUAUCAAACAGGAUUAGAUACCCUGGUAGUCCACACAGUAAACGAUGAAUACUAACUGUUUGCGAUAUACAGCAAGUGGUCGAGCGAAAGCGUUAAGUAUUCCACCUGGGAAGUAUGCCGGCAACGGUGAAACUCAAAGGAAUUGACGGGGGCCCGCACAAGCGGAGGAACAUGUGGUUUAAUUCGAUAAUACGCGAGGAACCUUACCCGGGCUCGAACGAUAUUUGAAUACAUCCGAAAGAUGUAGCUAGCAAUAGCAAAUACCGAGGUGCUGCAUGGUGUCGUCAGCUCGUGCCGUGAGGUGU